GAGGAAAGUCCGGGCUCCAUAGGGCAGGGUGCCAGGUAACGCCUGGGGGGGAAACCCACGACCAGUGCAACAGAGAGCAAACCGCCGAUGGCCCGCGCAAGUGGGAUCAGGUAAGGGUGAAAGGGUGCGGUAAGAGCGCACCGCGCGGCUGGUAACAGUCCGUGGCACGGUAAACUCCACCCGGAGCAAGGCCAAAUAGGGGUUCACAUGGUACGGCCCGUACUGAACCCGGGUAGGCUGCUUGAGCCAGCGCGCGAGCUCUGGCCUAGAUGAAUGACUGUCCACGACAGAACCCGGCUUA
rnacentral:RNase_P_RNA from 1 species